rnacentral:rRNA from 1 species
UGGGGAAUAUUGGACAAUGGGCGAAAGCCUGAUCCAGCCAUGCCGCGUGUGUGAAGAAGGUCUUCGGAUUGUAAAGCACUUUAAGUUGGGAGGAAGGGCAUUAACCUAAUACGUUAGUGUUUUGACGUUACCGACAGAAUAAGCACCGGCUAACUCUGUGCCAGCAGCCGCGGUAAUACAGAGGGUGCAAGCGUUAAUCGGAAUUACUGGGCGUAAAGCGCGCGUAGGUGGUUUGUUAAGUUGGAUGUGAAAUCCCCGGGAUCAACCUGGGAACUGCAUUCAAAACUGACUGACUAGAGUAUGGUAGAGGGUGGUGGAAUUUCCUGUGUAGCGGUGAAAUGCGUAGAUAUAGGAAGGAACA